AACCAGCACCUCAAGUGGUCAGGAUGAUUAUUGGGCCUAAAGCAUCCGUAGCCGGCUCUGUAAGUUUUCGGUUAAAUCUGUACGCUCAACGUACAGGCUGCCGGGAAUACUGCAUAGCUAGGGAGUGGGAGAGGUAGACGGUACUCGGUAGGAAGGGGUAAAAUCCUUUGAUCUAUCGAUGACCACCUGUGGCGAAGGCGGUCUACCAGAACACGUCCGACGGUGAGGGAUGAAAGCUGGGGGAGCAAACCGGAUUAGAUACCCGGGUAGUCCCAGCUGUAAACUAUGCAAACUCAGUGAUGCAUUGGCUUGUGGCCAAUGCAGUGCUGCAGGGAAGCCGUUAAGUUUGCCGCCUGGGAAGUACGUACGCAAGUAUGAAACUUAA
rnacentral:rRNA from 1 species